CACCCGAAUGAACUGAAAUGCUUUAUGAGGCAUCAUAAUGGUAUGGUCGCGUUUUACUAUUUGUGAUGACCUUCAGAAGUAUCAUUUUCAUGGCUUAAAAAAAUCAGAAGAAUGAGAGUAACAUUUUUGCUGUCUAUUAACAAAAAAUAAUGUUAAUGAUGGGUUUCUUAUUUUGGUAGUUAUUUUUCCUGGUUUCUGUACCUUCUGCUUCAUCUACUGAAUUUUUUUAAACUGUUUUACAGAUUACCUAAUGCUCCUGAUAUGGAGAUUUACUCCAUGUAUGGUGUCGGGAUCCUUACUGAAAGAGCCUAUGUCUACAAGCGAUCUCCCUCAUCUGAGUGCUACAUUCCCUUUCAGAUUGAUACGUCUGCUGACGGUGGACACGAAGGUAGCUGUUUGCAAGGUGGAGUUUACUUGGUGAACGGAGAUGAAACCGUGCCGGUUCUAAGUGCAGGCUACAUGUGUGCAAAAGGAUGGCGAGGCAAGACCAGGUUUAAUCCUUCUGGUAUCAAGACGUAUAUUAGAGAAUACGAUCACGCACCUCCAGCUAAUCUUUUGGAGGGUCGAGGCACACAAAGUGGUGCCCAUGUUGAUAUCAUGGGAAACUUUGCUUUGAUCGAGGAUAUUAUUCGAGUGGCAGCGGGAGCCACCGGAGAAGAUUUGGGCGGUGAUCAGAUUCAUUCUGAUAUAUUGAAAUGGUCGGAAAAGAUCAAUCUGCAGUUAUAGAUCCCACAGAGUUUUUGCUGAAGAACAACCUUGUGUACAGCUCCAAUCACAGAAAAAAAAAA